rnacentral:lncRNA from 1 species
GCAACGCAUAGAUCUGGAAUAGAUCUAAAGAUAUCAGAAAAACCUCAAAAGCUAGGGUUUUAAGAGGAACCCAAACGAUGAGAAAGGCUUGGAUUUAAGCAUGAGGAGUCGAGGCCAGGCACGAAACAGGCAUGGCUCGCCGAAGUAGGCCAGAGAUGGUCGUAAAUAUUGAAUCACAGUGGUUUGGACCCAACUCUUCAUGGUUAAGUCAUGAAUCUUCAGUAACCAAACGUGAAGAGCCAUAAGAGGUUGGGUGGGUGGUUAAAGCACCAUGGAUUCAGGUCAGAAGGCGGCAAGAGAAGAUGAAGGGAACUCAUCGGAGAGGAGGGGAAUGGGGGAAGGUUCUAGAGAGAACCAGAGAUAUAGACGAGUGAGGAAAUGAGGGGUAGUGGGUGGGUGAGGGGUUGUUUGGAAUUAAAAUUGUAAGAACAUAU